GGCCCAAGCCAGCCAGGAAGGAGGAGGCAGCCAGAGAGGCCUCCACUGUUCUCUGCAGCAGAAGACCCCCUGCUGCCAGAAUUUGGGAGCACUGUGCUGAAUAUGCUUAAGGAUACAAUUCAUAUAACGAUUUAAGAAGGCAUAAAAGAGAAGACUCACCCACAGUUUUCUCUAGGCAAGAGAUAACCAGUGCAGGGGACUCUUAAAAGGAGAUAUGCCAGCACUUGCCCUGCUCUGCAAGACGAGAGGAAAAUGUGACUUCCCAUCAUGAAAGGACAAUCUUUUUAGACCCUGAAAGUCAUACUCGUGGCUUUCUUUUAUGGUAUUGCUAAUGUUAAGACAUAAAAUUUUUGUGUUUAUGCCUUAUUUAUUUUCUUUGCUAAGAUCCUUUACUUUUGUUUAAAUUAAUAUUGCUUUUUUAAAAAUGGGCUUUGCACCGAGAUUCUAGAAACUGUUCUCACACCUCUCAUCCAAACUAUCCUAUCAACUUUGGGGCUCUUUCACUUUUAAAAUAAUGUCAACAAUUCACAAAACCUGUACAUAAAAUAUUGUGUGCAAAUCA